rnacentral:rRNA from 1 species
AUGAACGCUAGCGACAGGCCUAACACAUGCAAGUCGAGGGGCAGCACAGGAGCAAUCUGAGGCGGCGACCGGCGCACGGGUGAGUAACACGUAUGCAACCUGCCUGUAAGCGGGGAAUAACCCGUUGAAAGACGGACUAAUACCGCAUAAUACUAAAUUACUGCAUGGUAAUUUAUUUAAACAUUUAUGGCUUACAGAUGGGCAUGCGCAUGAUUAGCUAGUUGGAGAGGUAACGACUCCCCAAGGCAACGAUCAUUAGGGGUUCUGAGAGGAAGGUCCCCCCACACUGGUACUGAGACACGGACCAGACUCCUACGGGAGGCAGCAGUGAGGAAUAUUGGUCAAUGGACGAGAGUCUGAACCAGCCAAGUCGCGUGCAGGAAGAAUUGUCCUAUGGAUUGUAAACUGCUUUUGCAGGGGAAUAAAGUGCAUCACGUGUGAUGUUUUGUAUGUACUCUGCGAAUAAGGAUCGGCUAACUCCGUGCCAGCCGCUGC